AGAGUUUGAUCCUGGCUCAGAUUGAACGCUGGCGGCAUGCCUUACACAUGCAAGUCGAACGGUAACGGGCCUUCGGGUGCCGACGAGUGGCGAACGGGUGAGUAAUGCAUCGGAACGUACCUUUCAGUGGGGGAUAACGUAGCGAAAGUUACGCUAAUACCGCAUAUUCUGUGAGCAGGAAAGCAGGGGAUCGCAAGACCUUGCGCUGAUUGAGCGGCCGAUGUCAGAUUAGCUAGUUGGUGAGGUAAAGGCUCACCAAGGCGACGAUCUGUAGCGGGUCUGAGAGGAUGAUCCGCCACACUGGAACUGAGACACGGUCCAGACUCCUACGGGAGGCAGCAGUGGGGAGUUUUGGACAAUGGGGGCAACCCUGAUCCAGCCAUGCCGCGUGAGUGAAGAAGGCCUUCGGGUUGUAAAGCUCUUUCGGCCGGGAAGAAAUCGCAUGGGUUAAUACCCUGUGCGGAUGACGGUACCGGCAUAAGAAGCACCGGCUAACUACGUG
rnacentral:rRNA from 1 species